UGCACAUUGGGAAGGGCAAUCUGCUUUACUCCUACAAAUUCAAAUGCUAAUCUCUUCCAGACACACCCUCACAGACACGCCCAGAAUAAUGGUUCACUGAAUACCUGGGCAUACUAUGGCCCAGUCAGGUUGACACAUAAAUAUAACCAUCAUGGCAGACAAGGAGAGCUGAUUGGUUAAGUGGUCACUUACUUCACCAAAGAGUCUGAAAUUUCACAUCUCUUGAAGAGGCAGAAAUGAAUCCUCGGGGUGGAUUAAAAGGAAAGGACUAAGGGUCAAAAUUCACUUUCUUUAGUGGACAUGCACAAAUGAGGAAAACUUGUCAACAUUUUCUUCUGCCCUCGCUAAACACAGUUUCACGACAGCUCAGCACUGGCAGCAGGAAGAGCCUCAGAGAAGGACCCUCAUCCAAUAAACCUGGGCUGCGUGUUUUGGAUCA